CGUGUCGUGAGAUGUUGGGUUAAGUCCCGCAACGAGCGCAACCCCUAUUGUUAGUUGCCAUCAUUCAGUUGGGCACUCUAGCGAGACUGCCGGUAAUAACCGGAGAAGUGGGAUGACGUCAAAUCAUCAUGCCCCUUAUGACCUGGGCUACACACGUGCUACAAUGGUUGGUACAACGAGUUGCGAGUCGGUGACGGCGAGCUAAUCUCUUAAAGCCAAUCUCAGUUCGGAUUGUAGGCUGCAACUCGCCUACAUGAAGUCGGAAUCGCUAGUAAUCGCGGAUCAGCACGCCGCGGUGAAUACGUUCCCGGGCCUU
rnacentral:rRNA from 1 species